rnacentral:rRNA from 1 species
UACGAGGGGGGCAAAUGUUGUUCGGAAUCACUGGGCGUAAAGGGAGCGUAGGCGGGUUUCUAAGUCAGGUGUUUAAUCCCGGGGCCCAACCCCGGACAGGCACUUGAAACUGGGAAUCUUGAAUAGUGGAGAGGUCAGUGGAAUUGGGGGUGUAGCGGUGGAAUGCGUAGAUAUCGGGAGGAACACCAGUGGCGAAGGCGAGUCUCUGGACGACUCCGUGACACUGAGGCACGAAAGCUAGGGGAGCAAACAGG